CUACCCGUGGCACAGCUGGAUAGCGCGCGAGACUCCGACUCUCGAGGUCGCAGGUUCGAAUCCUGUCGGGUAGGCCA
rnacentral:tRNA from 2 species